CCUACGGGAGGCAGCAGUGGGGAAUAUUGGACAAUGGGCGGAAGCCUGAUCCAGCAACGCCGCGUGAGGGAUGACGGCCUUCGGGUUGUAAACCUCUUUCAGUACCGACGAAGCGCAAGUGACGGUAGGUACAGAAGAAGCACCGGCCAACUACGUGCCAGCAGCCGCGGUAAUACGUAGGGUGCGAGCGUUGUCCGGAAUUAUUGGGCGUAAAGGGCUCGUAGGCGGUUUGUCGCGUCGGGAGUGAAAACACCGGGCUUAACUCGGUGCUUGCUUCCGAUACGGGCAGACUAGAGGCAUUCAGGGGAGAACGGAAUUCCUGGUGUAGCGGUGAAAUGCGCAGAUAUCAGGAGGAACACCGGUGGCGAAGGCGGUUCUCUGGGAAUGUCCUGACGCUGAGGAGCGAAAGUGUGGGGAGCGAACAGGAUUAGAUACCCUGGUAGUCCACACCGUAAACGUUGGGCGCUAGGUGUGGGGCCUAUUCCAUGGGUUCCGUGCCGUAGCUAACGCAUUAAGCGCCCCGCCUGGGGAGUACGGCCGCAAGGCUAAAACUCAAAGGAAUUGACGG
rnacentral:rRNA from 1 species